AGGACGAACGCUGGCGGCGUGCUUAACACAUGCAAGUCAAGGGGGCCCAGCAAUGGGCAACCGGCGAACGGGUGCGUAACACGUGAGCAACCUACCGAACUGUGGGGGAUAGCCGGCCUAACGGCCGAGUAAUACCGCAUACGCUCUCAGGGAGGCAUUUCUUUGAGAGGAAACCUACGGGACAGAUCGAGGGGCUCGCGGCCUAUCAGCUAGUUGGCGAGGUAACGGCUCACCAAGGCAACGACGGGUAGCU
rnacentral:rRNA from 1 species